rnacentral:rRNA from 1 species
GUGUCAGCAGCCGCGGUAAUACAGAGGUCUCAAGCGUUAAUCGGAGUCACUGGGCUUAAAGGGUGCGUAGGCGGACCUGUAAGUGCUUUGUGAAAUCCCAUGGCUCAACCAUGGAAUGGCUCGGCAUACUGCAGGUCUUGAGGUCGGUAGGGGUUGCCGGAACUCUAGGUGGAGCGGUGAAAUGCGUAGAUAUCUAGAGGAACGCCGAAGGUGAAGACAGGCAACUGGGCCGAUUCUGACGCUGAGGCACGAAAGCGUGGGGAGCAAACGGGAUUAGAAACCCGCGUAGUCC